CUCCCACUAAUUGUGUAUUAGCAGUGUAUUUUAUCUUGAGAGCUGACGCACUGGGCUCUCAACGUGGUGUGGAAGGCAGACUGUUCCAGGGUUGGAUUCAUAAAAGGGCCUUUAUGGUUUGUGAAAGAAUAUCUGUGUGCUUAGGCAGGAAACUUUUUGAUCUGCAGGAAAGCCAGAAGACAUCUAGGAUAUCCUUGAAGAUUAAUCAGAGAGCCUCUUAUGUGCCUCUAAAGGGAAAAACUUAAAGUGGAUAUGAGAAGUGAAGAAAGUGAUCAUAGGAGAAAAUCAUCUCAGGUAAAAAUAAAAAACAAAAGAGCAAUUAAUAUUUAAUAUUUUUAAAGAAAAAAUAGUUUUGACUGUUUAAUUAUAAGAAUAUGUUUCAUACUCUUUAUGGAUUUAGCUGUUGAAAUUGUCACUGAUGAUUUGAGAGUUUAUAAUACUACCUACCUUUUUGAAAAAUUUUUGUCUCAGUCCGGGAUCAACGUACAGUUUGGGUCCCUUUGAAUAUACAUCUAAAUAUCCAUUCCUAUAAUAUAGGUGAAAUACAGUUGAAUAGAAAGUAAUUUAGGAAAAAGACAAUAUAUUUUGUCAUUUGUCACACCAUAUAAAAGGAAGUGAAAUCUGGGGAAAGGGAAUGAAGUUCUGCUCUAUUUUAAUGAUCUACUAAGAGAAUGAAACCAAAAUAUGCAUUCUUAUGGUUAAGAGAAAACUCAAAACAAAUGUUGCUUUUAUUUCAUGUCUAAAUUUAUGAAUAUAUGUGGAAAUAUUUUUUUCUACAUUUGAAUAUCUGACUGUUGAUUUUCUACUAUAGUUUUUAAUAACAUGGGAAUAAUUAGAAAACAAAAAAUAGUAAAAAUUAUGUAGACCACAUUAUCUAUAACCUAUAAAAAAACAUUCUAUUUUAUUUCAAAACAUGCAAAAACACUAAUUAAUUUUUAUGCAGUACUAUUAGUUUUCACAAUGAAGAUAUAAUUGAACAUGCUAAAUAUUGUGGAUAUAAGUGAAACGAUUAAUAAUGUACAACUUAUCAUUUUGUUGCCGUUGAGUUGGGAGUUUUAAGAAAUGUGUACGUGUGUGGCUUUAUGUUUACUCUUUGUGUGUUUGCUUAUUGUUUUGUGAUUUAAAAAUUUUUUAAUAACGAUUUAUUUUUGCCCAACCUGUUGACCAGAUGAGAGUAGUAUGUAGCCAUAUCGGAUGUUUUAAGUACAUAUUUUUUGAAAAGUAAAUUUCAAUAUAUUGUGUUUAAGGGACAAGUAUCCUCUUUCAUGCAGUUGAUCUGGAGUAUAAAUGUUGGUGCGCAGUAGUAAUAAUAAUGCUAUUAAUGUAUCAUUAAUGUUUGUUUUCUGAUAUUAAUUUACCCAAAUAUUGUUCAUUUAACUGUAGACACAUAUGUAUAUUUAAGAAUUUAAAUAACUUCCUGUGCUCUUUGUGUAAUCAACAAAAUCUUACUUGUUUUAUGAGAAAGUUACAAUAUUACCAGUUCCUUUAAACCACUAACUGAGGUUUUAUGAGUUAAAACAAGCUGUCUAGCUCUAACACAAUUAGCUUAAUAGUUAAUUUGGUCUUAAUUAUAGGCUCGUAAUACUAUAUUCAUGCCUCACAAUUACAUAAUUCACGAAUGCACAUAUGGAUUCUUUUUUAUUUUCUUUUAAAAUUCAUCGUUAAUUAGGAUAGUCUAAUUCCAAAAUAUUCAUUCUUAAAACAAAAGUAAUCUGUGAAAAACCUUUCACUAUACUGUUUUCAAAAUUCUCAUGUAUAUAACUUGUAUUUAGUGUAGAAUAUUUAUGAAGGCCUUUAAAUGGAAGUAUGCAUCCCUAGAGCAUUUCAGCAUUUAAAUAUUUAUGCUAAAGUCUUGAUAUUAUUAUUUUGGUCUCCUAAUUUCAUCAGAUAUUUACAACAAAUCCUGCAUUAUUAGGGAGCCCACGUGAGACGUUGCCCAUUGGCAUAAACCCGUAGAUCCGAUCUUGUGGUGAAGUGGACCGCACAAGCUCGCUUCUAUGGGUCUGUGUCAGUGUGGUAAUCUGACAAAAUGCAAUAUACAUUGAUGUUAAAUAAUAUUUCAGUCAAACUCCUGUUAAACUCCAGUUGUUUACUGUUUAUACUUACAUAUAUAUAAAUCCUCACCUGUCUUUUGAGGCAGGCCUCAGUUGUUGACGACUUGAGAA